CAAAUACAUAUGACAACGCAUACAGGCGAUAAACCUCAUGUUUGUGAUGUAUGUGGUAAACGGUUUAGUCAGUUAGGUAAUUUACAGAGACACACGAGAACACAUACAGGUGAUAAACCUCAUGACUGUGAUGUAUGUGGUAAAGGGUUUAGUCGCCUUUAUUCUUUACAGAUACAUAUGAGAAUACACACAGGUGAUAAACCUCAUAAAUGGG
rnacentral:lncRNA from 1 species